GAUAAUACAAUUCAAUCAUCAGUGAAAAACAAAACAAAAGAUUGAAACAUCGUAACUUAACACAGACAGAUAAUACAAUGCAAUCAUCGGUGACAAACAAAACAAAAGAUUGUAACUUCAAAUUUAGGUAAGGUCAUCCUCCUCCAAUUCCUUAGCCUUCAGCUUCUCUUUCACCCUUAAUAGAAGGGUUGUCUUCCAGGAAUCCAAUGGGGUCAUGCUGUCAAAUUCCUUGACAACAUCAGUAAACUUUGCAACAUCUUCCUCAUCAAUGGCAGCAGCGAUAUCCGCUAAGAGUCUGUAUUCUCUAGUUCCUGAAAAAGUUGGAUCCAGAUCCUGAUAUCGCUCUAAUGCAUUGGUUACAGCAACAACAUCGCCUUUGCAGAGGUGGCAAAUGCCAGCAUUCAGAAGAUGACCUUUGACACCAUACUUGAGCAAAUUAACGCCAAGUGAAUGUCGGGCAAUCUCUUCAUAAAUCUCAAUUGCCUUCUGGUAUUGUUCUAGUUGAGCAGCAAAUUGGGCUACUUUCUGCUUGCAUUGGUUAGCAGAAGUUGUUACUUCUUCACCUUGGAAGAAAUCAGCUGGCUUUUCAUAAAAGUCAAUAGCUUUCCUUUUCAUAAAAGUCAAUAGCUUUCUCAAUAUUUGCUUCUGAUUCAUAUAAUUCAGCAAUUUCCUUGUAAUAUCUUGCAGCCAUACUGAUUCUCCCUAUAUCACAAAACAACUCUACUGCUUGGACUAAGCAAGAUAUUGCCUCGUUCGUAGAUGUUUUCUUAUAACAGUGAGCAGC
rnacentral:misc_RNA from 1 species